rnacentral:rRNA from 1 species
CAGCAGCCGCGGUAAUACGUAGGGAGCUAGCGUUGUUCGGAAUUACUGGGCGUAAAGCGCACGUAGGCGGCUACUCAAGUCGGGGGUGAAAGCCCGGGGCUCAACCCCGGAACUGCCCUCGAAACUAGGUAGCUAGAAUCUUGGAGAGGUCAGUGGAAUUCCGAGUGUAGAGGUGAAAUUCGUAGAUAUUCGGAAGAACACCAGUGGCGAAGGCGACUGACUGGACAAGUAUUGACGCUGAGGUGCGAAAGCGUGGGGAGCAAACAGGAUUAGAUACCCCUGUAGUCCCUGUCUCUUAUAU